rnacentral:snRNA from 1 species
AUACUCUGGUUUCUCUUCAGAUCGUAUAAAUCUUUCGCCUUUACUAAAGAUUUCCGUGGAGAGGAACAAUUCUGAGUUUUUACUCAAUUUUUUGAGGCCUUGCCUUUGCAAGGCU